rnacentral:lncRNA from 1 species
ACAAAAAAGGGAGUGGAAAGUAAAAACUUGGUAUACAACGAUUUAAUAAGAGGUGCUGUACUGCACAGCUUAGAAACGGCUACAUUAGGUUUACCAUUUGAAGUAUGGAAGACAAGGAUGUGUAUUCAUAGAAAUGAAAAUACAAUUAGAUCUCUUAUAAAUAUUUGUAAUAAAGGUGUAAGUAAUUUUUAUGGUGGUUUUUUUGCAAAGUUAAUUGAAAGUAGCAGUAAAGGUGCUGUUCUAUUACUAUCAAAAGAACAGGUAAUAAAAGCAUGUAAUAGUUUAAAUAUAAAUAAUACUACUAGUGGUUUUAUUGGUGGUGCUUGUGGAGGCAUUUGUCAGUCAUUAGUUAUGACUCCUUGUACUUUUUUUAUUACAAGUAGUAUUGAUAGUAAAGUUAAUUAUAAAGAAAAACUUGUACACAUAAUUAAAACGAGUGGUAUAACAACAUUAUAUAAAGGAAACAUUGCUAUGUGUUUGAGGCAGGGUACGAAUUGGGCUAGUCGACAGGGCAUAACUGAAUGGGUGCGAAAUAAGUAUAUCCAAAGAAAAACAAAAAUGGAAGCAGAAAAAAUACAUUCUAAAAAUAGGGAUAUACAAACAAACGAACGCACACACCUACUUGGACUAACACAUUCACAAACUUCGGAAACACCCAAUGACAACCAUUUAAACAAAUUAAAUCUAAUAAAUGAUAAAAAAAAUAAUAAUACAAACUGCCAAUUAAGUAUAUCAGAAGAAAUUAUUUGUGGUAUUAUUGGUGGUACUCUUUCUGUAUGGAAUAAUCCAUUUGACGUUGUUAGAGUAUAUAUGCAAAACAAUGCUAAUAAAAAUAUAAAGUCAACAUUUUUUCAGUCCAUACAUAAUUUAUAUAAUGAAGGUGGUAUUCUUUAUUUAUAUAAAGGUGUCAUACCGCGUUGUUUUUUAUGUAUAUGGCAAACGCUUUUUAUGGUAUCUGGCAUUAAAAUUUUGGAAAAUUAUGUAUGACAAUGUCUUGAUUGUAACUGGUUCAAAAAAAAAAAAAAAAAAAAAAAAAAGCGAGCGAGCGAACGAACGAACGAACGAAUAUGAGUACUAAUAAAAAGGUUGAACAUUUAACUUACA